rnacentral:lncRNA from 1 species
GCGCCAGCCCCGCGCGUGCGCACAGGGACCGCCCGGCGCCCUGGGGGACCCACGGCGCCUGGACCGAAAAGCGUGGGGCGAAGGGGCUGCCCAGGCCUGGGUCCCUCUUGAGAACCAGCAGCACUAGAGCCCGGUGUGGUGGUGCAUGCCUGUGAUUGCAGCACCAGGGAGGCUGAGGAAGGAGGAUCUCCAGGCCAGGCUGGGCUACAAAGCGAGACCCUGUCAAACAAACGAACGAACGAACGAACGAGAAAACCAAAAAACAAAGAGGUGAGCGCAGCAGGAGUCACGACCAGGGAGACUGAAGUACAGCGCACAGACGCCAGAGGGAGCCAGAGGCUUCGAGCUCAGACAGGAAACGGGCAGAUGGGAAAUUACGCUGACAAAGCCGGACAGUUUAAAAGGCAGAAUAACAGAAUGCCACAACUGUGAGGAGAGAGGAAGAAGAGGAGGAGGCGGAGGAGGAAGGAGAAGAAAGAGCCCUCAUGACUCUGAACCUGCUGGCACACUGAUCUUGGACAUCCGUGACUCCUCACCACCUUCAAACAAAAGCAGAAGACAAAGCAAAGAACGCUUCAAAGCUUCACAGCUUUACAUCUCCAAGAUAAAAGUGAAGACUAUGCUGUGAUUCAUCUAAAAGACAAAGAGAGCCAGAAUCUCGAGCUAAGUCACGAAGCUGCCCAGGCUGCACUCGAACUUAGGGUCCUCCUGUCUCAGCCUCCCACGUCCCUGGAAUUACAGCUUGACUUUCCUGCCACGUGGACUUCUCACUCCAUCUCUGAUGCUAAGAUCAAGUUGAUCAGAACCAGAUGACCAGGACAAGAAGCCGAGGACAGCAGAGAUGAACAGCAAGCCCAAGGGCCUGGACCAGGCCAGCAAAAAUCCAACUUCUCAUGCUCCUUCUUUUAGGAUUCUCUGAUCCUGCCCAGAGAAGCCCUGAUUCAUGGAGGCUCAACGCUGUCAUUCCACCAGCAACCUGCCAGUGGCUGGCUCUGCCAUGGCUGGUCUAUAAAUUCCUUCUCAAAGGAUAAUGAUGCAAUUAUUGUCCUUAUAACUAAUUUCUCCUCAGUACCCCCUUUCAUAGACCUCAAUACGUUACCUACUGAGUUUGUCUGUAUCCUCCUCACACCAAAUGUGUCCUGUGUUUUUUUCUUACCCUACCUAAAGAAUCACCUAUAAUGCUUUCUGUCCCUAAAUCCAAAAACCCCAUGGCUAUAAUAAAAAAAAAAUCAUAAGACUGAGUAAUAGUCAAAGCACUAACAUGUGCCUGUUAAACAUCACCACCUUAGUUCCCAG